rnacentral:rRNA from 1 species
GACGAACGCUGGCGGCGUGCUUAACACAUGCAAGUCGAGCGGAGCUGCGAACGGGUGAGUAACUCGUGAGUAACUGCCCCCCUCUCUGGGAUAACAGUUGGAAACGGCUGCUAAUACCGGAUAGUGGGGGAUGACUCGGGGCCUAUCAGCUUGUUGGUGGGGUAGUGGCCUACCAAGGCGACGACGGGUAGCCGGCCUGAGAGGGCGACCGGCCACAAUGGGCUGCGAGACGGCGCAGACGCGAAUGGGAGACAGCAGGGGGGAAUAUUGCACAAGGGGGGAAAGCGUGAUGCAGCAACGCGCGGGCGGGAUGACGGGCUUCGGGGUGGGAACCGCUUUAAGCCAUGACGCGGUAGUGGCAGAAGAAGCACCGGCUAACUACGUGCCAGCAGCCGCGGUAAUAC